CUACGGGCCGCAGCAGUGAGGAAUUUUGCGCAAUGGGGGAAACCCUGACGCAGCAACGCCGCGUGAGUGAUGAAGGCUUUCGGGUCGUAAAGCUCUGUCAAGUGGGAAGAAACAACAUGAUGCCAAUAUCAUCAUGUUCUGACGGUACCACUGAAGGAAGCGCCGGCUAACUCCGUGCCAGCAGCCGCGGUAAUAGCGGGGGGUGCAAGCGUGAUUCGGAAUUAUUGGGCGUAAAGAGCGCGUAGGCGGUCUUUUAAGUCAGAUGUGAAAGCCCGGGGCUUAACCCCGGAAGUGCAUUUGAAACUAAAGGACUUGAGUAUGGGAGAGGGAAGUGGAAUUCCUGGUGUAGAGGUGAAAUUCGUAGAUAUCAGGAGGAACACCGGUGGCGAAGGCGACUUCCUGGACCAAUACUGACGCUGAGGCGCGAAGGCGUGGGGAGCAAACAGGAUUAGAUACCCUCGUAGUC
rnacentral:rRNA from 1 species